rnacentral:rRNA from 1 species
GACGAACGCUGGCGGCGUGCUUAACACAUGCAAGUCGAGCGAUGAAGUUCCUUCGGGAAUGGAUUAGCGGCGGACGGGUGAGUAACACGUGGGUAACCUGCCUCAUAGAGGGGAAUAGCCUUUCGAAAGGAAGAUUAAUACCGCAUAAGAUUGUAGUUUCGCAUGAAACAGCAAUUAAAGGAGUAAUCCGCUAUGAGAUGGACCCGCGUCGCAUUAGCUAGUUGGUGAGGUAACGGCUCACCAAGGCGACGAUGCGUAGCCGACCUGAGAGGGUGGUCGGCCACAUUGGGACAGAGACACGGGCCAGACUACUACGGGAGGCAGCAGUGGGGAAUAUUGCAAAAUGGGGGAAACCCUAAUGCAGCAACGCCGCGUGAGUGAUGACGGUCUUCGGUUUGUAAAGCUCUGUCUUCAGGGACGAUAAUGACGGUACCUGAGGAGGAAGCCACGGCUAACUACGUGCCAGCCGCCGCCGUAA